UACAGAGGAGCCAAGCGUUGUCCGGAUUGACUGGGCGUAAAGCGCACGCAGGCGGACGCGCGCGUGGGGUGUGAAAUCUGGCCGCUUAACGGCCAGGCGCCAUCCCAUACGGCGCGUCUGGAGCAAUGCAGAGGUCGGUGGAAUUGCCGGUGUAGUGGUGAAAUGCGUAGAGAUCGGCAGGAACACCCAGGGUAAACCAGCCGACUGGGCAUUUGCUGACGCUGAGGUGCGAGAGCGUGGGGAGCGAACAGG
rnacentral:rRNA from 1 species